GAGCAACAGCAGCAGCAUCUUACAGAUAGAGACGACAUUAGCGACACAAUUCGACUUCUAACAUCACGUCAAACUUAUCAAACGAGAUAAUGAAGAAAACCAUAUUCUUCCCAGGAAAGAUGAGAGUGUCUUUCAGGAAGGGUCCAUCUGGCCACCUGAGACAGGACCCUUCAGAGGAGGGUAUGAGAAUACAAAAAAAUCCUUCCCUUCAGGACAAGUCUGCUGCUCAGAAACAUGAGCAUGUGAGGACAAAUGCUCUCACUGAGGUCCUUCAGAGGGGAGGGGAUGUAUCUGACCGACUCGAGGUGAUGGGGGAGUACGUGCUACAGUUUGGAAAAUAUAAGGGGAAACUGUACUCCAUCACCUGUGCUUUAUAGGGCCACCAGCAGCAGUCUCCAGAGCCCCGGCUGUGUCUACACCAACAGGUUUCUCUCCAGCAGUGUGGAGGGAUAACUUGGCCGUGUUCGGGUCUGUUCUGAUGCUUGUGUUAUUCUGUUCUCCAACUAACUGAAGGAAUUAACAUGUCAGCAAUGAUGCCCACAGGACUUAUCCAACUGCCACUGCCACUGUGUCCAGACCCGAUGGACCUGCUCCUCUGAAAGCCACAGUGAAGGCACCGCUGCCGGUCCCUCCUCAGCUGCUCGCCAUUGCCCCAAAGCUCGGGAUUGAAGAGCAGGCGCCAAAUGUGUUGAGACAAAAUUCAUCACCACAUAAUAUGGCCCCUGUGGAAGCGCAGGGAGACACUGUCCUCGAUGAAGCUCUGACUUGCCCAGGGAAGUAUAUCUACUGCCCCUCCAGAGUCUUCUCCUUAUAUAAUGCACAGGGCAUGGAGCAGGAGAUGACGUGGCCGGAGUUCCAGCAGUCUGACUUCUAUGAUGCUGAAAGGGACAGAUGGAUUGCAGACAAAAGGAAGC